GGGUCAGUAGGUUGGUCGUGCCACCGGUACGUACUGGUCUCACUGAUUCCUCCUUCCUGAAGAACCGUAAUGCCAUUAAUUUGGUGUUGCGGGGAUACAGGACUGUUACUUUGAAAAAUUAGAGUGUUUAAAGCAAGCUAACGCUUGAAUACAUUAGCAUGGAAUAAUGAAAUAGGACGAUCGAUCCUAUUUUGUUGGUUUCUAGGAUUGACGUA
rnacentral:rRNA from 1 species